rnacentral:rRNA from 1 species
GUAGUCUGCAACCCGACUACAUGAAGCUGGAAUCGCUAGUAAUCGCAGAUCAGAAUGCUGCGGUGAAUACGUUCCCGGGUCUUGUACACACCGCCCGUCACACCAUGGGAGUUGGAAAUGCCCGAAGUCGGUGACCUAACCGAAAGGGAGGAGCCGCCGAAGGCAGGUCUGAUAACUGGGGUGAAGUCGUAACAAGGUACC